rnacentral:rRNA from 1 species
CUCUCUGGUGAUUCAUAAUAACUUCUCGAAUCGCACGGCCUUGCGCCGGCGAUGGUUCAUUCAAAUUUCUGCCCUAUCAACUUUCGACGGCUGGGUCUUGGCCAGCCGUGGUGACAACGGGUAACGGAGGGUUAGGGCUCGACCCCGGAGAAGGAGCCUGAGAAACGGCUACUACAUCCAAGGAAGGCAGCAGGCGCGCAAAUUACCCAAUCCCGACACGGGGAGGUAGUGACAAUAAAUACUGAUACAGGGCUCUUUCGGGUCUUGUAAUUGGAAUGAGUACAAUUUAAAUCCCUUAACGAGGAACAAUUGGAGGGCAAGUCUGGUGCCAGCAGCCGCGGUAAUUCCAGCUCCAAUAGCGUAUAUUAAAGUUGUUGAGGUUAAAAAGCUCGUAGUUGAACCUUGGGCCUAGCCGGCCGGUCCGCCUCACCGCGUGCACUGGCUCGGCUGGGUCUUUCCUUCUGGAGAACCGCAUGCCCUUCACUGGGUGUGCC